AGGGGUAGAGGUUGCUUGCAACCUUGAGACCGGCGCACGGGUGCGUAACGCGUAUGCAACCUACCUUCAUCUGGGGGAUAGCCCGGAGAAAUCCGGAUUAAUACCGCAUAAAAUCACAGUACGGCAUCGUACAAUGAUCAAACAUUUAUGGGAUGGAGAUGGGCAUGCGUGUCAUUAGUUAGUUGGCGGGGUAACGGCCCACCAAGACCGCGAUGACUAGGGGAUCUGAGAGGAUGACCCCCCACACUGGUACUGAGACACGGACCAGACUCCUACGGGAGGCAGCAGUAAGGAAUAUUGGUCAAUGGGGGCAACCCUGAACCAGCCAUGCCGCGUGCAGGAAGACGGCCCUCUGGGUUGUAAACUGCUUUUAUUCGGGAAUAAACCUACUUACGUGUAAGUAGCUGAAUGUACCGAAGGAAUAAGGAUCGGCUAACUCCGUGCCAGCAGCCGCGGUAAUACGGAGGAUCCAAGCGUUAUCCGGAUUUAUUGGGUUUAAAGGGUGCGUAGGCGGCCUGUUAAGUCAGGGGUGAAAGACGGUAGCUCAACUAUCGCAGUGCCCUUGAUACUGAUGGGCUUGAAUGGACUAGAGGUAGGCGGAAUGUGACAAGUAGCGGUGAAAUGCAUAGAUAUGUCACAGAACACCGAUUGCGAAGGCAGCUUACUAUGGUCAUAUUGACGCUGAGGCACGAAAGCGUGGGGAUCAAACAGGAUUAGAUACCCUGGUAGUCCACGCCCUAAACGAUGGAUACUCGCUGUUGGCGAUAUACAGUCAGCGGCU
rnacentral:rRNA from 1 species